CGGACGGGUGAGUAAUGUCUGGGAAACUGCCUGAUGGAGGGGGAUAACUACUGGAAACGGUAGCUAAUACCGCAUAACGUCGCAAGACCAAAGGGGGGACCUUCGGGCCUCUUGCCAUCAGAUGUGCCCAGAUGGGAUUAGCUUGUUGGUGGGGUAACGGCUCACCAAGGCGACGAUCCCUAGCUGGUCUGAGAGGAUGACCAGCCACACUGGAACUGAGACACGGUCCAG
rnacentral:rRNA from 1 species